UGUGUUUGCAUUGGAAUGAAGAAUUUUUUCAUACAGCUGCAGUAGAACUAGCUUGAAGAGAGUUGUCAGAAACCAAUCAAAUCAACGAAUCACCUACCUGUUCCACAGAUUGAUGAAAUGGGCGGCAAGAUCCGUCGCGAUCCUCAGCGCUGAAACCGCCUGAAAAUCAUCGAAGCGUCG